UACGGAGGGGGCUAGCGUUGUUCGGAAUUACUGGGCGUAAAGCGCACGUAGGCGGCUUUGCAAGUUAGAGGUGAAAGCCCAGGGCUUAACCCUGGAAUUGCCUUUAAAACUGCAUCGCUAGAAUUGUGGAGAGGUAAGUGGAAUUCCAGGUGUAGCGGUGAAAUGCGUAGAUAUCUGGAGGAACACCGGUGGCGAAGGCGGCAUUCUGGACCAUUACUGACGCUGAGGAGCGAAAGCCAGGGGAGCAAACGGG
rnacentral:rRNA from 1 species